rnacentral:rRNA from 1 species
ACUAUCAUUAACUGAAUCCAUAGGUUAAUGAGGCGAACCGGGGGAACUGAAACAUCUAAGUACCCCGAGGAAAAGAAAUCAACCGAGAUUCCCCCAGUAGCGGCGAGCGAACGGGGAGGAGCCCAGAGCCUGAAUCAGUGUGUGUGUUAGUGGAAGCGUCUGGAAAGGCGUGCGAUACAGGGUGACAGCCCCGUACACAAAAAUGCACAUAUUGUGAGCUCGAUGAGUAGGGCGGGACACGUGGUAUCCUGUCUGAAUAUGGGGGGACCAUCCUCCAAGGCUAAAUACUCCUGACUGACCGAUAGUGAACCAGUACCGUGAGGGAAAGGCGAAAAGAACCCCGGCGAGGGGAGUGAAAAAGAACCUGAAACCGUGUACGUACAAGCAGUGGGAGCCUCUUAAUGGGGUGACUGCGUACCUUUUGUAUAAUGGGUCAGCGACUUAUAUUCUGUAGCAAGGUUAACCGAAUAGGGGAGUCGAAGGGAAACCGAGUCUUAACUGGGCGUUAAGUUGCAGGGUAUAGACCCGAAACCCGGUGAUCUAGCCAUGGGCAGGUUGAAGGUUGGGUAACACUAACUGGAGGACCGAACCGACUAAUGUUGAAAAAUUAGCGGAUGACUUGUGGCUGGGGGUGAAAGGCCAAUCAAACCGGGAGAUAGCUGGUUCUCCCCGAAAGCUAUUUAGGUAGCGCCUCGUGAAUUCAUCUCCGGGGGUAGAGCACUGUUUCGGCAAGGGGGUCAUCCCGACUUACCAACCCGAUGCAAACUGCGAAUACCGGAGAAUGUUAUCACGGGAGACACACGGCGGGUGCUAACGUCCGUCGUGAAGAGGGAAACAACCCAGACCGCCAGCUAAGGUCCCAAAGUCAUGGUUAAGUGGGAAACGAUGUGGGAAGGCCCAGACAGCCAGGAUGUUGGCUUAGAAGCAGCCAUCAUUUAAAGAAAGCGUAAUAGCUCACUGGUCGAGUCGGCCUGCGCGGAAGAUGUAACGGGGCUAAACCAUGCACCGAAGCUGCGGCAGCGACACUAUGUGUUGUUGGGUAGGGGAGCGUUCUGUAAGCCUGUGAAGGUGGCCUGUGAGGGUUGCUGGAGGUAUCAGAAGUGCGAAUGCUGACAUAAGUAACGAUAAAGCGGGUGAAAAGCCCGCUCGCCGGAAGACCAAGGGUUCCUGUCCAACGUUAAUCGGGGCAGGGUGAGUCGACCCCUAAGGCGAGGCCGAAAGGCGUAGUCGAUGGGAAACAGGUUAAUAUUCCUGUACUUGGUGUUACUGCGAAGGGGGGACGGAGAAGGCUAUGUUGGCCGGGCGACGGUUGUCCCGGUUUAAGCGUGUAGGCUGGUUUUCCAGGCAAAUCCGGAAAACCAAGGCUGAGGCGUGAUGACGAGGCACUACGGUGCUGAAGCGACAAAUGCCCUGCUUCCAGGAAAAGCCUCUAAGCAUCAGGUAACAUCAAAUCGUACCCCAAACCGACACAGGUGGUCAGGUAGAGAAUACCAAGGCGCUUGAGAGAACUCGGGUGAAGGAACUAGGCAAAAUGGUGCCGUAACUUCGGGAGAAGGCACGCUGAUAUGUAGGUGAAGCGACUUGCUCGUGGAGCUGAAAUCAGUCGAAGAUACCAGCUGGCUGCAACUGUUUAUUAAAAACACAGCACUGUGCAAACACGAAAGUGGACGUAUACGGUGUGACGCCUGCCCGGUGCCGGAAGGUUAAUUGAUGGGGUUAGCGGCAACGCGAAGCUCUUGAUCGAAGCCCCGGUAAACGGCGGCCGUAACUAUAACGGUCCUAAGGUAGCGAAAUUCCUUGUCGGGUAAGUUCCGACCUGCACGAAUGGCGUAAUGAUGGCCAGGCUGUCUCCACCCGAGACUCAGUGAAAUUGAACUCGCUGUGAAGAUGCAGUGUACCCGCGGCAAGACGGAAAGACCCCGUGAACCUUUACUAUAGCUUGACACUGAACAUUGAGCCUUGAUGUGUAGGAUAGGUGGGAGGCUUUGAAGUGUGGACGCCAGUCUGCAUGGAGCCGACCUUGAAAUACCACCCUUUAAUGUUUGAUGUUCUAACGU